GGAAGCAAAAACUUGUUCUACAUAGUUAUACCCAGGCCAGUCAGAGCUAUAUGGUGUAACCCUCAGAAGAGAGCCAUACCAUUGCCCCAUCCCAUUAGAGUUAAUCCAAAUGGUCUGUCUGUUCUCGAAACUUCAGUUUAUACUCUACCUCAAUAUGGGUUUGGCACAGUGGUACCAUUGUUCAUUCUUUGUGAGUGUACUUUCUUUGUAAUCUCUCUGUCCAUUCUUCAUUUUCUUCUAUUACUGUACUUUAUGUGUUUCAUCUGAAAUCAAUCAACAGUAAAUACAGGAACUGGGGAGCUCAGGGGAGGCUAUGGAGAGGAACUCCAAACAGUGCCUUCCUAGACACUUUUUUGUUUUGUUUUGUUUUUGAUUUGACAGAUCUUUAUGGGAAAAAAAAUGCUCUCUUGCCUGUCUCCUCUCCUUUCAGACAUAAUAAAGAUUUUUAGUCUCAUUUUGAACUGCCCUAGAUUGUAGGAAGCACUGAAUUUCUUUUACAUUCUUCCCCCAAACCCCCUGGGACCAAACCCAGGGCCUUGUGCUUGCUAGGCAAGUGCUCUACCUCUGAGCUAAAUCCCCAACUCCAGCACUGGAUUUCUUAACAAGUACAAGAUGAGGCUGUUCUUAAUAUGUCUCUGCCAGUACCUGGCUGGGACUCAGUGCAUUUUUUAAUCUUCAUCAGAAAAAAUUCUUCCUUCAGUAGACGGCAGUUAACACAGAGAUCUAUAACUGGACAAUAUGCAGAAAGUGAGAGACUAUGGAACACGCAGUUCUAAAUGGGAUGUCUCUGUCAAACUCCUCCCCUCAAAGCUCAAGGAUUUAUAUGGAAAAAGAACCAGAAAACACAGAUUGUAAGAGCCACAGAUCCAACACAAGAGAAAACAUGUCUAAGAAUCUAGGAGUGUUCCUUUUAUCUCUGCCCAGCUGGAAUCCGAAGGGUUGAUCAUGGCAGGCUGGAUGACAGUCAAGAGACAGGAGAUGUUGAUGGACACAUCCCUCCCCGUGUUGUGAAAAUAUAAAGAGAAGAUGCAUACAAAAUCCUUGAACACAAGGUUCCAUCCAAGCAG
ensembl:lncRNA